rnacentral:rRNA from 1 species
ACGCACGUGUGAAACUUGAAGGAAUUGACGGAAGGGCACCACAAGAACGCGUGGAGCAUGUGGCUUAAUUUGACCCAACGCGGGAAAUCUUACCGGGUCCGGACACACUGAGGAUUGACAGGCAAUAUUAAAUAAAGAAAAUUUUGGACUAUCUGAUAUUUAUGUUAAAUAUGCUAGUCCUUUCAUGAUUAUGUGAUAGGUGGUGCAUGGCCGUUCUUAGUUCGUGGAGUGAUCUGUCUGCUUAAUUGCGUUUCACUAAGGGCUUAUCUAAUUAUAACGUGUGUUGCUAGAGUUUUAUACCUUUGUGACCCCUUUAAUUAGUGUGUGUCUAUAAUGGUAGCUUUGGCUCACACAAUUAAGUCCUGAAAGCAACGAACGUGACCG